rnacentral:lncRNA from 1 species
UCCUCCUCCACUUUAUAUGUGGGCCAUGCCACAGCGUGGCUGAUGAGUGGUGCAGGUCUGCAUCUGAGAUCUGAACCUGUGAACCCAGGGCAGCCAAAGUGGAGCAUGCUGAACUUAACCACCAUGCCACUGGGCCAGCCCAAUAUAGGCACCUAACAUCUGUUGGACGCUGGGAUUGGCACUGUGACUAUAACAAAGAUGACCGGGACAUGCUUCCUGUCCUCACGGAGCUUACAAGCAGUUGCUGAGUGUGUGUCUUCCAGGGAAAAGAAGAGGAAGCAGGAGAGGCCUUCAGACUUGGACUGGAAUGUACAUCGCUGGCUCCCCAUCUCUCGGACCUUGGAAAUACACUCUGGCUUUCUUGGGUCUCCAGCUUACAGAUGGCAGAUCGGAG